rnacentral:rRNA from 1 species
GAAAGGGAAGCGCUUGCAACCAGACCUGCCCGUAGGCGAUCAGCCGCUGUUCUCAGCGGUGUACUCGCUCUGCGAUCAGGCCAGCAUCGGUUUCGGCGGUCGGAUAAAGACCUUGGGAAUGUAGCUUCCCUUUGGGGAAGUCUUAUAGCCCUCGGUGUAAUGCGGCCAGCCGGGACCGAGGACCGCGCUUCGGCUAGGAUGCUGGCGUAAUGGUUGUAAGCGACCCGUCUUGAAACACGGACCAAGGAGUCUAACAUCUAUGCGAGUGUUUGGGUGUCAAACCCAUACGCGGAAUGAAAGUGAACGGAGGUGAGAACCCUUGAGGGCGCAUCAUCGACCGAUCCAGAUGUCUUCGGAUGGAUUUGAGUAUGAGCAUAGCUGUUGGGACCCGAAAGAUGGUGAACUAUGCCUGAAUAGGGUGAAGCCAGAGGAAACUCUGGUGGAGGCUCGCAGCGGUUCUGACGUGCAAAUCGAUCGUCAAAUUUGGGUAUAGGGGCGAAAGACUAAUC